CGUGAUAGGGGACACCGAGUGCCAGCAUCAUAUGCUGGCUGUCCAGGUGUGUAAAAUACACCUGUUAGCAAGGGCCGGGCAAGACCGGUGCCAGCCGCCGCGGUAACACCGGCGGCCCGAGUGGUGAUCGUGAUUAUUGGGUCUAAAGGGUCCGUAGCCGGUUUGGUCAGUCCUCCGGGAAAUCUGACAGCUCAACUGUUAGGCUUUCGGGGGAUACUGCCAGACUUGGAACCGGGAGAGGUAAGAGGUACUACAGGGGUAGGA
rnacentral:rRNA from 1 species